rnacentral:rRNA from 1 species
AUGGCAGCGAGGACGGGAGCUGUGGUGGACGCGCGGUUCUGCGCGCCGCACGCGACGGAGUUCACCUUGACCAAGACGAAGAGCUGGUUCCGCGACUUCACCAUCACGGACGCCAGCGGCGCGGCGGUGAUGAAGGUGGACGCCCCCCCGUUCACCUUUGUCCGUCGCUCCAUCCUCGUCGACGCCGCAUCGCGCCGGCCUUUGGUCACCACGGAGCGCUCGCCGACCCUGUUCACGCUCGGCCGGAGGUGGGAGGCGUUCAAGGGGGACGGCAGCAGGCCGAGGGAUCUGCUCUUCUCCGCCGUGGUGCAGCCCUGGCUGUUCGUCAUCAGAGAGGUCCACGUCCACCUCGCCGGCGGCGACCGCAGCGAGAAGAACCCGGACUUCGUGAUCCGACUCAGUUCAUGCGGGCGCGAGUGGACAGUCUCCCGCGGCCGCUCCGACGGCGGCGCCGCCGUUGCCACGAUCAAGCGCACGACGGGGCUGUUCCUGUUCGAGGGGCUGGCUUUCUCCGUGAGUGUCAGCCCGGGCGUGGACCAUGCUUUCAUCCUGGCGCUCGCCGUGAUUCUGCACGAGAUACGUCAGGACGGAAUCCAGCGUGGACAGCACGCCGCCUUCUAA